GACGAACGCUGGCGGCGUGCUUAACACAUGCAAGUCGAACGAAGAGCGAUGGAAGCUUGCUUCUAUCAAUCUUAGUGGCGAACGGGUGAGUAACGCGUAAUCAACCUGCCCUUCAGAGGGGGACAACAGUUGGAAACGACUGCUAAUACCGCAUACGAUCUAACCUCGGCAUCGAGGAAAGAUGAAAGGUGGCCUCUAUGUAUAAGCUAUCACUGAAGGAGGGGAUUGCGUCUGAUUAGCUAGUUGGAGGGGUAACGGCCCACCAAGGCGAUGAUCAGUAGCCGGUCUGAGAGGAUGAACGGCCACAUUGGGACUGAGACACGGCCCAGACUCCUACGGGAGGCAGCAGUGGGGAAUCUUCCGCAAUGGACGAAAGUCUGACGGAGCAACGCCGCGUGAGUGAGGACGGCCUUCGGGUUGUAAAGCUCUGUUAAUCGGGACGAAAGGCCUUCUUGCGAAUAGGGAGAAGGAUUGACGGUACCGGAAGAGAAAGCCACGGCUAACUACGUG
rnacentral:rRNA from 1 species